UACAGAGGUCUCAAGCGUUUGUUCGGAUUCAUUGGGCGUAAAGGGUGCGUAGGCGGCGCGGUAAGUCGGGUGUGAAAUCUUGGAGCUUAACUCCGAAACUGCAUUCGAUACUGCCGUGCUUGAGGACUGGAGAGGAGACUGGAAUUUACGGUGUAGCGGUGAAAUGCGUAGAUAUCGUAAGGAAGACCAGUGGCGAAGGCGGGUCUCUGGACCACAACUGACGCUGGAGGCGCGAAAGCUAGGGGAGCAAACAGG
rnacentral:rRNA from 1 species